rnacentral:tRNA from 1 species
CCUGGUAGCUCAGACGGUAAAGCGUCUGUCUACAAUGCAGGAGACCCAGGUUCGAUCCCUGGGUCAGGA